UUUGUUGUUUCAUGGUACAGUUAUGUGGCAAAGAAGUACUACCCUGCUCAAUACCUUUCGAAAUUUUCUGGAAAAGAUGACAAAUUAGUAGCAAAUGAUGGUCAAGGGAAGGGUGGUUGUGGUAGGGGUUGAUGGUGGAACGGUGGUGGGAGAGGUGGGAGGAAGAGAGGGGCGGGGGAAGGGUGGUUGUGGUGGUGGUGGAGGAGAGGAAGAAGGUGGUGGGCUUGGGAGAAGGGAGAAGGACCAAAGUGAUAGGGAUAUUGGAGAGAUAAUAUUGACUUUUCAACUAGGGAUUAAAUUGAAAGUUGAAAGAUUUUCCAAUUGGCAUAUAACUUGCCAACUCAGCUUCUUCUGUUAACUUUUAUUAUGUUUUUAACGUCGGGACUAAAUUGACCGACGUUUACCACUUUCAGGGACUGUGGAAUUGAUUUUUAAAGUUUAGGGACCAACUUGACAUCGCUUGACACUUUCAGGGACCAACUUGGCUAUUUACCCCAUCCAAAAUUCUUUCCGCAUCUCGAGAAAGUUGAAGUUCUGAGACAGACUGAAACGACUCGUUUUAGUGUUAUGAUGGGUUUAAGUUUUAUUGUUAAUUAUUCAUAUCAUUAUUAGAUAUAAGAAAAAAAAAAAAUACUAAAACUAACCUAGAGAAAGAAUAAAACCCACGCAGCCUCAAUACCCAUUAACAGAACGCAUCCCUCACCCUCUCUUUCUCUCUCGAGAUUUUUUUCUUUUACUUUGCCUCUGAAUAGAAGCCAGCGGCGACACCUCUCUUCCAUUCUAUAUGUUUUCUUCCUUCUUCAUUAGAAACAAAACCAAUUGCCACCAUGAUAGAUACGCACUCAUGAAGAAAAGAUUUGGGUAUUCAAGUUGAAAGGCUUCCAACAAAAUAUUUAGGAGUUAGGGUUUAUGCUCCAAAGAAAAGAGGAAGAUCAAGGAAGCAAUUGAACGAGAGUGGAGUUCCCUGUGAUUGGUGUGAAACCAUGGCUCUUUGGAAUGACUAGUUUGCAACUGGAUAUGUGCUGCCCAAAACGUUUUGACAGAGGAAAAGAAACAAGUCAGCUAUAGAGGAUACACGAGAGAUGCAAAAUGGCUUGAUUUGGUUUUGGUUGUCCAAGGAGUUGCUAGCUGCUGGCUAUUCAAGUAUCUUGGAGACAUUGGAAGCAAUCAUUCUAACUCCUUAUAGUUAUUCACAGGCAACUAAGUAGUAAGCUGGUGGUAUCAGAUUCAUCAGAUCGUUCAAUUUAUCUUAUUGGCAGGCCUCCUUUGGUUGGUGGCUCGGUUGAUGUCUUUUAUUUGAUAGUUAUCUGCAGCUAUAGGGAGUCUUAGAAGGAUUUGGAUUUAAGAUUGUUAUUUAUUGUUUUAUUGUAAAAGUUGCUCUUGAGUGCAAAAAUUGGUAAUUUCCUUUUAAUGAAAGUAUGAAAAUGGAGAUCAUUAUUUGACAA